GUUUUAAUAGUUUAAUAAAAACAUUGGUCUUGUAAGCCUAAAAUAAAGUAAGUCUUUUUAAAACAU
rnacentral:tRNA from 1 species